rnacentral:tRNA from 1 species
GGGUGAGUACCAGAGUGGCCAAAUGGGGCAGACUGUAAAUCUGCUGGUUUUUACCUUCGGUGGUUCGAAUCCAUCCUCACCCA